rnacentral:rRNA from 1 species
AUUGAACGCUGGCGGCAUGCCUUACACAUGCAAGUCGAACGGCAGCAUGAUCUAGCUUGCUAGAUUGAUGGCGAGUGGCGAACGGGUGAGUAAUACAUCGGAACGUGCCCUGUAGUGGGGGAUAACUAGUCGAAAGAUUAGCUAAUACCGCAUACAACCUGAGGGUGAAAGUGGGGGACCGCAAGGCCUCAUGCUAUAGGAGCGGCCGAUGUCUGAUUAGCUAGUUGGUGAGGUAAAGGCUCACCAAGGCGACGAUCAGUAGCUGGUCUGAGAGGACGAUCAGCCACACUGGGACUGAGACGCGGCCCAGACUCCUACGGGAGGCAGCAGUGGGGAAUUUUGGACAAUGGGCGAAAGCCUGAUCCAGCAAUGCCGCGUGUGUGAAGAAGGCCUUCGGGUUGUAAAGCACUUUUGUCCGGAAAGAAAUGGCUCUGGUUAAUACCUGGGGUCGAUGACGGUACCGGAAGAAUAAGGACCGGCUAACUACGUG